CUCGACCCCGUAUUUUAGGUAUGUCUUCUAAAUAGGUGCUUGCAACCUUGAAGCUCUACUGGAUCGAUGGCCCUGAAAAGAAAUGAAGACAAUUGUUAUUCUGAUUUGCUACAAUGGAAAAUGGGUAACCUCAAAGAAGAUGUGCAAAUACGAAGAGGGUGACUUAAAAGGCUUAAUAGUUCCACGGACCGUCACAUUUGCUGAACUGUUGGAUCGUGUGCAUCAGAUUGACUGCAGUUGUCAAUUGUCCCCAGCAAUACUUAAAGAUGUCGGACGUACGGCCUCCAAACGAAGAUACCAGUUACCUGGGAGACCAGCCGUGGCAUGUGCCGUUCCCAUCUCCACCUCUGACUCUAAUUGCCACCCUAUUGCGUGUAUCCCAGCGAUAGUUAUUGUUAUCCUAUUGUAAUUAUAUUGCCCUCAUAUUGCCACUAGAUAGUUGUAUAUUGCCUAAAUAUCAUGGUUCUAUUGUAUGUAGAUUGACUAGGGCUCAUCAUUGGGUUUAGAGUUUAGGGCCUACUUUAUUCAAAAACAAGAAGAAGAG